UACAGAGGGUGCAAGCGUUGUUCGGAAUUAUUGGGCGUAAAGGGCGUGUAGGCGGUUUCCUAAGUCUUCUGUGAAAUCUACGGGCUUAGCCUGUAACGUGCAGAGGAAACUGGGAGACUUGAGUGUCGGAGAGGAUAGGGGAAUACCCGGUGUAGAGGUGAAAUUCGUAGAGAUCGGGUGGAACACCAGUGGCGAAGGCGCCUGUCUGGCUGACAACUGACGCUGAGACUCGAAAGCAUGGGGAUCAAACAGG
rnacentral:rRNA from 1 species